AUUUUUUUUUCUAUUUUUUCUAAAUUUCUAAAUUUUCUAAAUUUCUAAAUUUUUCUAUUUCUAUUUUUCUAUUUUCAAUUUGGCUACCAUAUUACUUUAGGUACUUAUCACCCCACUCUGAAGGUCAAGGUCAAGGAGAAGGGAAGGGAAGGGAAACUGGAGGAAGGAGUCAUGAUUAGGUGCUCCACUUCACAAAUGAGAAAACUGAGACUGAGAGAAAGGCUCAUGAUCCAACCCACCAAUCCAUGGAAUUUCAACAAAGCUGAUGCUGACACCCCAAACCCUCCUUCCUUUUUUCACAAUAGUGCCUUGGAGAUUUGGGCUCGAGGGUACAGAACUUUGCUGAAGCCUUGGUGGCUAGUGCUGGAGCAGUUUUCUGUAUUGCAAAAAUAUGUUUUUCAAGAGAGUGGAGGAACAGAGGGAAUGGGGCAGAACAUAUGUUCAAGCUUGAAAUAGAACUCAACUCCAUAUUCUAACAACCACUCCAUGGCAUCAGAGCCAAACUUUGAAGAAAUCAACUCUAGAUACAUUAGCUCUGAAGUGGUAGUAUUCUGUAUUUCGGGGCCAGAGAACUGAGGAGCAGAGGGUAUAGUAGAGGACAUUGUAGUAGGUGAGGGAGUUGUAUUAGCACUCUACUAAGCCUGAAGGAGAUAUUGUUAUCUAGUUGGGGCUAGUUCUGCUCCCUAAAAAGUUAUUUGGGGCAGAGCCCGAGGCUUAUGAACUGAGGACUGACUUGCAUGGGAAGAGUCAGAGAAGCUUUGAAAUCCAAUUCCCAGGGAAACCACCAUCAGAAGGGAGUCAGGAAGUGAGCAACAGGAGAAAAAGAAAAAAAACCCUUGAGUUACCAGAAAUCUAAGGAAAAAACUCAGAAACCUCAAACAUGGCUUUUAGAUCUAGGAAAUGAGACUAGGCAUCUUUGAAUAAAUGCUAUAAAGAAAGGAAAUUGAUCCAACACUUGAUAAGACACAGUACCCUUUGGAAAUUGAGGACAGUGUAGAUACACAAUGUGCUGUUCCAGAAUGAUUUAAAAGAGAAAUGAGAAUUGUGAGAGUAGAAUUUAUGGCCUGCAAAGCAGAAAUAAUCAGUAAAAUGGAAAAACUAGAAUAUUCCGUGGCUAGCCUCACCAAAAAAACAAAAGAGAGAAUAAUGGCUUAGAAUGCAAACAGAAGGGAAGCAUGGUGCAGGAGAAAGGAAACAACAACCAAGAACCCAACAUUAAAAGAAAAUAUGCCCAUUAUACAAGCAAAACAUAUUGCUUGUUAGGAAAAAAAACCCCUAAGGAUUAUAGGUCUAUUAGAAGAACAUGAUAAGUCAAUGAACUGGAACACCAUGAUGUAAGAAAUACCUAAGAAAACUGCCCAGAGUCUUGCCUAAGAACACCUGAACACAGAAAAUGAAAUAGCAAGCGAAGGAAUUCAUGGAUUACUUCCAAAAAAGGAAAAAAACCCAACAAGAAAUAAAAACAAAAAAAUUUGCAGACUCUAAGAUACAUAUUGGUUAAAUUUAACAAAUCAUAAAUAACAAAUUCUACAAGUAAUGAGGAGCAAAUAUCCAAUAUUGGAUUUGAAUUCAGGUCUUCCUAAUUCCAGCUUCACCACUCUACCCACUCUACCACCUACCUGUCUCUGAUACAAUCAAAGGUAAGGCAGUAUGGAGUUAGGAGAUAAAAGUUUAGGUCAUUCUGACCUCACAUUCAUUUCUUCAUCUACUCAUAUCACUCAACUGCCUACAGGUAUAAGAAUGUACAUGUUUGUUAGACUCAUAAUGUGUAAAAAAAAGAAAAAAGUUAAAAUGAUGGAAUGAAAGAAGCAUAUUUAAAAUACAGAGUGAACAGAAAGAUUUUCAGAAGGGUUUACAAAAAAGCAGGACAUUUUAGGCACUAUUAUGCUAAAUUUGACAUAUUCUUUAUGUUUUUAUUGUUCUUUAAACCUGUACCUUCUGUUUUAGUAUCUGUUUUGACAAAAGAGAAGCAAGGAGUAGACAAUUGGAGUUAAGUGACUUGCCCAGGGUCACAUAGCUGGGAAGUGCCUGAGGACAGAUUUUAAUCCAAGAACUCCCAACUCCAGGCCAGGUCCUCGAUCCACUGUGCAACCUGACUAUCCCUAAAUUUAAUAUAUACUUAAAAAAAAUAAAAUAUAUAAUAUAUAGUUUCACAUGUAAUCCUCUUCUGUUCUUUGUGUACUGACAUGAUUACACUUUAGGAUAUUUGCUAAAUUCAUAAUUAAAAAAGAAAAUGAAAAAAAUUUAAUAGCCUAUAUUUAAAUGAUCCCUCAAAGCCCCUGGUGAAGCGCAGUAUAUUUUGUUACAGUAGCAUCAGCUUAAUAAAUAACAGUUCACUUGGAUCAAUUCAAAUAUGCCAGGACAUAAUAUUAAAAGCUUGUCUAGCAGCAGAAAGGCUGUCUUGGCUUUGACUGAGAUGCACCUGCUAAGAACAGGGGCACAGCUGAGACAGUUGAACAGGGACAGAGAUAUGAGGCGUGUUUGAGGAGGUGAGGAGAGAAGGGGGUGGGUUUGGAGCGGCAGUGGUUUCACCAAGUUCCUUUUCUUUUUUAUUUAGAUUAAAUUCUGCUCAGCAGGGUUAUUUCUUAAUUAGAGCAGCCUAGCCAGGCAGGCCUCCAGCCUUGGACCCCUGCUUUGCCUUCUAAGGUUUCAUGAGGGAUGUUGUCCUGCCUUAUUUCCUGAGUUCUAAUAUUUGAAUAAUGUGCAGUGAUUUCAACAGGAAGAAAAGACUUGUAAUUUAAUCAUCUUUAUUAGAUUGGGGGGAGGGAGAGUGGGCAGAGGAAGGGGAAAGAACCUGUGUCCUCUCUCUGUCUGUUGAUAUUUUCUUUUCACCUUUGAUUCUCUGGUCAAAAGAGGUGAUUCCAUAGUUGUCCUUCAUUUUUUUUUUAAUGAGAGAAACCAAAUGGGAACAUUAACUUCCAUAGAGGGUUUGUUCAUUGUGGGACACCUGCUGGUCCAGGAGAGAGAUUUACAUAAAAUAAAUAGCAGCUUCCCUUCCAGGAACAGUGAGAUUUAGUGGAUCCUAAAAUCAUGGACUGAAUUUCAAGAAUCCCACUGCUUUCUAUUACCUCCUUGAUGAAUUUCACAGCCUACAGUCCUCAAGCUAUCGAGUGCCACAAAAUGGAGGAAAAAGUCAACAAUCUUUUAUUAAAUGCUUACAACAUGCCAGCCCCUGUGCUAAAACUGAUCACAUAAAGGAAGGCAAAAAAUAGAUACAAAUACCCAGAGGAGGUGAAAGGCUCUCUGAGAGGCAAAGGCAUUAGCCACUGGAGAAGGCAGUGAGGGAAGUCACUGGCGAAGUUCUGAGAUAGAUGGCACAGUGGGCGAAUUCUUUUUCUCAAUCAUCAUUUUGUCCCCUCACAGAUUUGAUCAGUUGGCCAGACUGAAAAUCCCAUGCAUGGGAGCAGCGAGAAUAAUGCCUUUGUAUGGCAUCCAAAGUCAAAAGGAGAUGUUGCUGUCACAUGAAUACAAGGGAAUAGGUAUACUACAGUUCUUGAAGAAAAAAGACUGACUUUCCACAUUGCUCAUCAACAACAUCAAUGAGUUCAGAGCUCUCCGAGUUGUCCUUUCCAUGAAUGUACAUACUUAACACAGAAAUACUCCCAACUGCUUCCUUAAUUCUCCACAAAUGGUAUUAUCCUGUACCUUCAUUGCUCUACUGCCACCAGGAGAUAUCAUGGCCAAGAUGAAGAAGGAAUGGCUUCCCCCUAGGACCUGGUUUUUUGCAGAGAAAGGGGAUGGAACAUGGCCUUCUGUGGAAAAGAGAAUGGCACAGGUGAUUAGACCAGAAUAAGGAGCCAGAGAGGAAGCUCCUCUUCAGAAAGGAGAAGAGCGAACAGGGAGCCAACAGGUAUAUGUUGGAGGAUGUGAGUGAGGAAGCCAAACCCAGAGAGGGAAGAUGAUUUCCCAGCUCAUCCUGGAAGUAUUGGAAUGAAAGAAUUCCUCAAUAGGAAGACUGAAAUCAUACAACUCAAUAUUUGAACCCAGCAGGAAAAAGACUAAUAGCAGUAUCCAUGGCCUAAGAAUCUCACACCCUGCCUUCAAUAUCUAGCCAAAGUCCUCAAGGGCCUGCUUAUGAGCACGACAUUCAAAGUUUCCUUAUUGUGGUUCUUCUCGUGCCAAUCUCAUUCUACGAGUAUUGGGGACAGGUUGUACUGAGCUUCUACACUCUUCCCCAGAUCAUCUGUGACCAGUAAACUAUCUUGUUAAGAAGACUGACCUGUAUAAUAGGUAUAAUCUGUGGAUAUAGGGCAGUGAAGCUAACUAGAACUUAGAGCUACUAAGGAGACAAGACUUUGGAUUAACCCCUGAAUCAUCAACAGGUUUCGCAUCCAUGUGAUGUCAGUUUGGCACACAUGCACAUUCCCUCUUCAUUGGUCAUAAGAAUUUACCCAAAAAAUGGAGACAAAGAAGAAGAGAGACCUACUUCCUAAAAGUAACUGUGCUAUCAUAGUAGAAGUUCUAUAAGUGUAGGGAAUAUUUCCAUUUCUGUCUUUGAAUUUCCAGGACUUGGCACACUAUGGAGAGCUGAGAGUUUGAUCAGAUGUUUGGAGAGGCCGGAACUAUCACCAAUUGUCCUGACUUUUGUCCUGUCACUGGAGUUUGAUGACUAGGAGAGACAGUGAGACUGAUGGUUUUGUGCAACUCUACUUCACUUAAAUCCAAUUCAUGCAGAAGUCAAGAUACAAUCCUGUGGUUGUCAUUGGUCUUCUUUGAAUUGAAGGACAAAUGUCAGCAACAACUUAGCACAAUGCCUGGGAUAUAGCAGACAUAAUAAAUAUUUGUUGAUUAAGAAGGUAUUUAGCAGUUGUGUGACACUGGCAAGUCAUAACCUCCUUGGGCCUCAGUUUCCUCAUAUGCAAAAUAAAGUGGUUUGACUUGAUGACUUCUAAGAUCUCUUCAAGUUCUGAAUCUCUUAUUGGUUGGUUGUAGUCUAUUUUCAAGGUAUGUGUGCUAGUUAAAAAAAUAAAAUUUUUAAUGAAAGCUGCCUUUCUAGGUCUAACAGGUCAGAUGUAAAAAAAAAAUCAGCUGAUUGGUGCUAGUGGAGGAAGUAUUUCUAGAGAAUAGCUUUGCUUGUAAGUAUGUGUAUAUGAUGCCACAUAAUAGCAUGGGGAGAUAGGAGUGGAGAGGGUUAAGAUUCUACAGAAAGAACAGAAGCAACAAGGCUAAGAUUUAGCCCCAGAGAGGUAUAAAGGGAAUCUAUGUUAAGUUUUUUUCUUUUCCUAAUAAACAUCCCAAGGUUUUGGGAACAUUUAAUUAUUAAUUACAAUUCAAAGCAAAUGAGAUAAGUUUUUGUAGCUAAGUUUUUGCCAACCAUAAAUUUGUCAUCACUAUCACCAUUAUCUUCAAGAGUCAACUCUAGUGGCUCACCCAUAAAAGAGAAACAGAUAGCAGAGUGGAUUAGAAACUAGAGUCUGGCAAUAUUGUUUUUAAGAGACAUACUUGAAAUAGAAAGGCAUCCACACAUAGUUAAAACAAGAGUCUGGAGCAGAACUGAUGAUGCUUUAGUCAAAGUGGAAAAGGCAGUGGUAGCAAUUAUGGUCUCAGACAAAGCACCUACAAAAAUAGAACUAACUAAAAAAAGAUAAUUGGGGAAGCAAUAUUUUGAUAAAAAAGUAUCAUAGACAAAAUGUAAAAUAUAUAAAUAAAAUAUUGUGGAUAUAAGUUGCAUUUCAAAGGAAAACUGGAAUCAGCAUUGUGGCAAUUUAACAUAAAAACUUAGCUACUUUAAUCAAUUCCAAGCUAUACAAGAUGAAAAAAAAAUGCUAUCUACUUCCAAAGAGAGAGAACUAAUGAAUUCUGAAUGUAAAUCGAAGUAUAAUAUCCUCACUUUAUUUUUCUUGCUUCUUUUCGUGAUAUGGUUAAUAUGGGAAUGUUUUACACAUUUUCACAUGUAUAAUUUAUGUAUUGCUUGCCUUCUCAGUGGGUGAGGAAGGGGUGGGAGAAAGAAUUUGGAAUUCAAAAUUAAAAAAAAUUACUUUUAAAAAAUAUUUUUACAAACUUAAAUCGAAAAAAUAACAUGUAUAUGUAAGUCAGUUCAAGUUCCCACCUUUUGUAGGGAGCUUUUCUUGAGUCCCCUAGAUAUGGGUGCCUUUCUCUUUUCAAUCACCUUCUAUUUAUUCUCUCUCUAUUUCUUGCAUAUAAUUAUUUAUGUGUCGAUUCAGGAGAAUGUACAUUUUUUUUUCCAGUCUACCUUUGUAUCCCCAGAGCAUUGAACACAAUACUCUCUACAUAGUAAAAUGACUUGUUGACUGACUGACUAAAACCAUCCUUAUGUUUUUUGGCCUAAAAAGUGAUAGCCAAACCAAACCAAACCAAACCAAAACAACAACAAAAAACACCUUUCUGGUGAUUUGGCUGAGAGGAAUGAGGAGCAUGCAGGGAAGUGUUGAAAUCUCACCAGUAU